CUGCUCACUUUGGCAGCACAUGAAUUAAAAUUGGAAUGAUACAGAGAAGAUUGGCAUGGCCCUGCUCAAGGAUGACACCCACACUUUCUCAAUCCUAUCACCCUUUA